rnacentral:rRNA from 1 species
GUCCUACGGGGGGCAGCAGUGGGGAAUAUUGCACAAUGGGGGAAACCCUGAUGCAGCGACGCCGCGUGAGUGAAGAAGCAUCUCGGUAUGUAAAGCUCUAUCAGCAGGAAAGAUAAUGACGGUACCUGACUAAGAAGCCCCGGCUAACUACGUGCCAGCAGCCGCGGUAAUACGUAGGGGGCAAGCGUUAUCCGGAUUUACUGGGUGUAAAGGGAGCGUAGACGGCAGGGCAAGUCUGGAGUGAAAG